rnacentral:tRNA from 1 species
GCCUGGGUGGCUUAGUCGGUUAAGUGUCUGACUUCGGCUCAGGUCAUGAUUUCGCAGUUCGUGAGUUCGAGCCCCACAUCAGGCU